rnacentral:rRNA from 1 species
CCCUUAGAUGUUCUGGGCCGCACGCGCGCUACACUGAUGGAUUCAGCGAGUUUCACAAUGCUUUAGGGUGUUGUAGUCCUUGGUCGGAAGGCCUGGGUAAUCUUGUAAAUGUCCAUCGUGAUGGGGCUAGAUUUUUGCAAUUUUGAAUCUCCAACGAGGAAUUCCUAGUAAACGCAAGUCAUCAGCUUGCAUUGAUUACGUCCCUGCCCUUUGUACACACCGCCCGUCGCUCCUACCGAUUGAAUGGUCCGGUGAAGCGUUCGGACCGUGGCCUUUGGACGGUUCGCCGUCUGUUGGCUGCGGGAAGUUCGUUAAACCUUAUCAUUUAGAGGAAGGAGAAGUCGUANCA